ACAAUGGCCCUUAUUCUGCGCCUCGAAUGACGUGACGAUAGUAGAGUCACCCAAGUCAUUCUAUUCCAGCAGUCUGUUUAGGUGAGGAACGUCACUUCGGAUGAACUUUGUGAGUUCUUACCCUAUUCUCGUAGUCACCGUGGGUGAGAAUCGUCGCAUUCGGGUGACGAUUUUAGGUGACAAUUGUCGGUACCUUUUCAGGUCGCGACGAGAUAGAAAUUCAAUGAAAAAUUUAUGAAACAGGGAAUAAUUCCCAAGUAACAUUUUAAACUCCUAAUGGUUUUAUAGGAAAAGAUGGAAGUUUUAAAAAUACUUUGUAAAAGUCUUGAUAGCCGCGAAGCGUAUUUCAACAAGACCAUUAAAAAACUAACUUCAGGAUAUCUACACGACAAUAAUAAAACCUUUUUAGAAAACUUCAAUCAAUUUUAAGAAUAUUUUAUCCUCCGUGUAUAUAGCGGUUUUGAAGGCCGCUAUAAAGCAGUUUCAAAACCUCGCUAUAAAACUAUGUCAAAUGCCAUAAAACGUCAAGUGUCAACAGGUGUCAACGACAGCUGAUUGAUGAUAAAAACAAACAAACCAUGAAAAGAAGAAGUGGAACAAGAAAAACCAACAGCAAAAUUUUGCGUUCGUUUUCUAAAACCAAAGGUAAUAUACUGAAUAUGCAGAUAGUUCAUCACUUACUUGGCUUAGUCGUACGCGAUUCGGCGCAACUGCCUCUCUCAUCACAGUGUCCGGAUGUUCAAUGGUGUCGGUGCCGGUUGGUUUUUCUCCAGCAACGUAGCCAAAAAAACCGACUGUUCGACAGUAUAAGCUUCCAGAACUUUUACGCAGCUGCAGCGAAGCGUGUGCACCGGAAGAUGGGGUUUCGACCCGGAAAAUCAGCCUGUUUUCAUUUCGGAGCUGUUACAACGGAAACCUUAAUGAUGGCCAACAUGAGAAAAAAUCCCCUGAGAAGCAACUAUAGAGUUCUAAUGUUGGAUCCGGAUUGAAAGGCAUAGUGCAAUAAACAUUAUUUAAAUAAAAAGUGAAUCGUA